GAUGAAGAAACGUAGCGAAAUGCGAUACGUAGUGUGAAUUGCAGAAUUCAGUGAAUCAUCGAAUCUUUGAACGCACAUUGCACCUCUCGGUAUUCCGGGAGGUAUGCCUGUUCGAGCGUCAUUUGUACCCUCAAGCUCUGCUUGGUGUUGGGUGUUUGUUCCGCCUCUGUGUGUGAACUCGCCUCAAAACAAUUGGCAGCCGGCGUACUUGUUUCGGAGCGCAGCACAUUUUGCGAUCCAGAUCAACGUACAGCGGCAUCCAAGAAGCCUUAUUUAACGCUCUUGACCUCGGAUCAGGUAGGGAUACCCGCUGAACUUAAGCAUAUCAUAAGCGGAGGA
rnacentral:misc_RNA from 1 species